rnacentral:rRNA from 1 species
AGUAAUGUCUGGGAAACUGCCUGAUGGAGGGGGAUAACUACUGGAAACGGUAGCUAAUACCGCAUAACGUCGCAAGACCAAAGUGGGGGACCUUCGGGCCUCAUGCCAUCAGAUGUGCCCAGAUGGGAUUAGCUAGUAGGUGGGGUAACGGCUCACCUAGGCGACGAUCCCCAGCUGGUCUGAGAGGAUGACCAGCCACACUGGAACUGAGACACGGUCCAG